CGGUGUUUAACUGGCGUGAUGUGGGACGUCCUACCGGUGGGCUUAGCCUCGCGAGGGGCGGCCCAACUAAUAUCCCGUCGCGGUGCUCUUUACUGAGUGUCGAGUCGGGCCGGUACGUUUACUUUGAACAAAUUAGAGUGCUUAAAGCAGGCUAUCCUCGCCUGAAUACUGCGUGCAUGGAAUAAUGGAAUAGGACCUCGGUUCUAUUUUGUUAGUUUUCGGAACCCCGAGGUAAUGAUUAAUAGGGACAGAUGGGGGCAUUCGUAUUGCGACGUUAGAGGUGAAAUUCUUGGAUCGUCGCAAGACGGACAGAAGCGAAAGCAUUUGCCAAAAAUGUUUUCAUUAAUCAAGAACGAAAGUUAGAGGUUCGAAGGCGAUCAGAUACCGCCCUAGUUCUAACCAUAAACGAUGCCAGCUAGCGAUCCGCCGAAGUUCCUCCGAUGACUCGGCGGGCAGCUUCCGGGAAACCAAAGCUUUUGGGUUCCGGGGGAAGUAUGGUUGCAAAGCUGAAACUUAAAGGAAUUGACGGAAGGGCACCACCAGGAGUGGAGCCUGCGGCUUAAUUUGACUCAACACGGGAAACCUCACCAGGCCCAGACACCGGAAGGAUUGACAGAUUGAUAGCUCUUUCUUGAUUCGGUGGGUGGUGGUGCAUGGCCGUUCUUAGUUGGUGGAGCGAUUUGUCUGGUUAAUUCCGAUAACGAACGAGACUCUAGCCUGCUAAAUAGGCGUACCUUAUGGUAUCGCGAAGGCCCCCGGCUUCGGCCGGUGGGUUUUUACUACCAACGUACAAACAAAUCUUCUUAGAGGGACAGGCGG
rnacentral:rRNA from 1 species